UACGGAGGGGGCUAGCGUUGUUCGGAAUUACUGGGCGUAAAGCGCGCGUAGGCGGACCUGCAAGUCGGGUGUGAAAGCCCCGGGCUCAACCUGGGAAUUGCAUUCGAGACUGAAUAGCUAGGGUACGGUAGAGGGAAGUGGAAUUUCCGGUGUAGCGGUGAAAUGCGUAGAUAUCGGAAGGAACAUCAGUGGCGAAGGCGGCUAUCUGGACGGUUUCUGACGCUAAGACGCGAAAGCGUGGGGAGCAAACAGG
rnacentral:rRNA from 1 species